rnacentral:rRNA from 1 species
UACGUAGGGGGCUAGCGUUGUCCGGAAUCAUUGGGCGUAAAGCGCGCGUAGGCGGCCCGGUAAGUCCGUUGUGAAAGUCAAAGGCUCAACCUUUGAAAGCCGAUGGAUACUGCCGGGCUGGAGUCCGGAAGAGGCGAGUGGAAUUCCUGGUGUAGCGGUGAAAUGCGCAGAUAUCAGGAGGAACACCGAUGGCGAAGGCAGCUCGCUGGGACGGUACUGACGCUGAGGCGCGAAAGCGUGGGGAGCAAACAGG